UUUCCAGGCCAGGCCCCUGGUCCCCAGGAGUGUGGGGCUGCCCGAGGUCUACUGCUGACUUUUCCAGAGCUGCAGUUCCCAGCGAUGACUCGGAGUCCCUGUGGCCCCAGCAUCAUCCCUCCAUCCCUGGCUGCGAGGCAGGAGCAGAGUUGCAGACCUGAGAGGCCUUUAAUUUGUUUGAUCUAAGACUUUGCCGCCAAAGUGCUUUGCCUAUGAGGUCUGGCUUGGCCUGGCCUCUGAGAGAGAACAUAGUCCUCACUGGAAGGACCCUGGAGAAUGGAAGAGGAGAGGCUGCUGCGGUCUGCCCUCCCAGCAGCAGGAAGGAGCAUGGAGAAGACAAGAACAAGACUCUCAGAAGGAAGUGGUGUGGCUGGAGCCAUGAGAACUGGUCGUGGAGGAGGCAAAUACAAUUUCUGACUUACAUAAUGACGUACUCACAAGAAGCCUCUCCUUGAAUAUAAUAAUUCAGCAGUUAUGGAGUCCUUACAAUGUGCUAGUGGAACUUUGAAGAUGAAUCCAAAUUUGGAUCCCGGCCUGAAAAGGCUCAAAGUCUAAUAUGGGAGGUAAGAAAUGUAGAAUCCAUAUAACGACGGGGUCUCCCUGCCCCUUAAGAUCUAGUUAUGAGUAGCUGCAAUUCCUGUGAAUUCCAAGGUGGUUUUACCACCUCAAGUUCACAUUUAGAUAUGACUUCUGGCUUCUUUUAGGAAGUUCCCAUCUCUAAGUUUCAUCUCUGUUCCUUUAUUUCUGUCAGCCCGGAUCCAAAUGUGAAACUUAUCUUCUUUUAUUAACCAAUCAACCACCUCCUGCCAAAACAACAACAAGAACAACAACACAAAAAACAAAAACAAAACAAAACAAAACUCGGUGUACACAAGACCUUUGUUUCUACAGCAGACUUGGCUAAAGAUUUGGGCGUGCAUACUCCCAAAAUUAAAAAAUGGAAAAUUGAACACUUCUGUCCUUCAAAGUGAUUUGGUCUCUCCUACAGGGUCUUGCCCUUAUCUCCGUUCUCCCCGCACUCCCACCACCUCACUUACUCCCAUGGCAUGCUACAUCCUUGAAUAAAUAUGCCCAAGGCAGAUGUGGUAAUGAAGAU
rnacentral:lncRNA from 1 species